rnacentral:pre_miRNA from 1 species
ACCGUGGCUUUCGAUUGUUACUGUGGAAACCGGAGGUAACAGUCUACAGCCAUGGUCG